ACGUAACAAAUUUUACUAGAUGCGAUACUGAAAUUCCAACAUACAACGCUAUCCAAGAACUGGUGUCACAAUACACACAAACUUCUAAGAAUAAUACACACAACCGUCUAAAAGAAAUGAAUACUGUUUGUCUCGAACAUAUGAGAUAACAGACUGAAAGUAAAGAUAGAGUAGACGCCGGGUCAAACUGACGCCUGCAAGGCUACUUCGGUGUCUCGAUGAUCAAAAGCUAAAACCCGCACUACUGCUGCUGCUGCUGUCCAAAGCCUGAAUCUGCGCAAAAAGAGCGCAGAGUGUAGAAUCAGCACAACCAAUCUCAUGUGUUGGUAAGUGCCCGGUCUAUCCCCGCGAAGUAGUGACAAGGCUAGGACCAGACGCUCACAUGAACAUGUACAGUCUAAUACAUAUAUACAACAGAAAUAACAGGAAACAACAUUAAAUAUUUGGGAAGGGAAAACAUGCUCUGGGAUAGCGACAAAAUGUGAUAACAGGAGCAGAAUAAAUGAACUUCAAUUAAUGAGGAAGGGUAAAUAAAAAUAUGCACGGCACCAACCAUCGUGCUUUUACUCUCGUUCUCACCAAAUAAUCAUAUAAGAUGUACGACAUCACCCAUCGUACUUUUACUCUCGUUCUCACCAAAUAAUCAAUUAAGAUGUACGACAUCACCCAUCGUACUUUUACUCUCACAAUCUCAUAUCGAGGCACGGAAAGACCCAUCGUACAUAAUCACUCUUCCUUGUCACCGACAACUAUGGCCAAUAACAAUAAUCAUUGUAAUAUAUAUCUCAAGGCACGGAAAGACCCAUCGUGCAUAAUCACUCUUCUUUGUCACUGGCAACUAUGACCAGUAACAAUAAUCAUUGUCUAUAUUACUGGCAGAAAAUCAAUAAUAAUUAAUCAACUAUAUAUAUAAAUAUUACCGGUAUGAAACCAAUAAUCUUUUAUUUCCACAAUAUAAAUAUUACCGAUAUGAAACCAAUAAUCUUUUAUUUCAACAAUAUAAAUAUUACCAGUAUGAAACCAAUAAUAAUAAUUCCCUUCAUAUAACCAUAUAAGAUUAUAAACAUUUAAUCAAUUUAUGGCUCACGGUCAUGCUCGACCCCCAACGUAUAGAUACUUGUCACCAUGUCUAUACGUCGGACUCCACACAUAGCAAUUAGCAUAUAGACUCAACUCCUAUUCCCUCAAGGUAGGAUAGAUCAAACACUUACCUCGAAGGUAUACAGCAAACUCAAUCCUUAAGCAAUACCCUUUCCUUUAGAAUUUGGCUCCAAUUCAAUUGUAUCUAUACACAAUUGAUUUAAUAUCAUCAAUUCUACUCAACGAAAUAUUCCAAAUGGCUAAAUAUAUAUUUCACAACAUUCUACCCGGAAUAGUGAAGAUCGACCCCGGGCCCACGUGGUCAAAACACGAGGUUCGAACCAAUUUCUGACAACACAUUCAUCUACGAGUUCAAAUAUACAAUUUGAUCUUAAGUUUGACCCCAAAACAAGGUCUAAAUCACACAGGGAAAGCACCUAACUUUAUUUCUUUAUUGAUGUUGGUAUGACUUUGACUACCAUAUACAUUUUGUCUUAAUGUAGUAUUAAGGGACCUAAAAUAAUGCAGCUAGAAUCCCAUUAAAUAAAUAUUAUCAUACAUAUAUGCAUAAAUGUCCUUACUGGGACCGUUGGGGAAUUCACAUAAUAUGACUUCAUAUUGCAAGUUCAUGACAUUUGAUUUUAUACAUAAAGAUAAUAUUAUUUUCCUCCUAAAUUGUUGUUUUCAAACUUUCUAUUACAAUAAUCUUCAAAAAAAAUAUUUCCAGAAAAGUGAACCAACUUUGUUAUAUUACAUCCCCAAGUCUCGCUAUCUACCCCAACAAUUCAUUAUGAAACUAUUUUAACUUUCCUCUUGGUAUCGGACCUUUGCAGAACCUAAAAGUGAAUCUGCUUAAGGAAAUUAGUAGUUCCUUCUAUGAUUUGUCUCUACAAGAUCUUAACUUUCUUAGCUGAUUCUAAUCUUAUCAAAUAUGUUGAGCCUAUGACUUGGUAUAAAUGUGAUCAUGAGCUAUUCUUAAAGUAUUGUUACCCUGCCAUUUGAAGUAUACGUCAACAAUCAAGCUAUAAAACUUAGGAUAUCAUGCUAAUAAAGUUCUACUACCUUGAUUUUCAGUAGCAGCUCUUACUGGAGGUUCAAGACAACAGCUUGCUGCUGCCGCUGGUUCAACGACUGGAGGUGUUCGACUUCGACUGCUGCUGGACGAUAACGGAGCUGACUGGACGAUGGACUGGUUUGGAGAGGAAGAAGCAGCAGAGAUGGUGGCUUUUUGGCAGCUCACGUGAAGAAGAAGAAGAAGAAGCAAAGGGGGUGACGGAACAGUGGUCGUUUGGUCGUGAGUGGAGCUGGUUCUAUGUUUUUCCUUUUUUUAAAAAAUUUAUUUUGGUUGAGAAUUUGAUACAAUUGUCUCCACAAAUUCUUUUCUGAAUCCCUCGAGCAGAAGCACUAUUUUUGGUAUUUGAAUAUGAAAUGUUUGGUACUGAAAGUGACAAAUGACAUGGAAAGCAUUUGGUGAAUAUUCAAUGGGGGAUUCUUGAAAAUGGG
rnacentral:lncRNA from 1 species